UGAGCAAUCUGCCCUUCUCUUUGGAAUAAGCGUUGGAAACGACGUCUAAUGCCGAAUACGACCUCCUUUCGCAUGAUCGGAGGUGGAAAGCUCCGGCGGAGAAGGAUGAGCUCGCGGCCUAUCAGCUAGUUGGUGUGGGUAAUGGCCUACCAAGGCGAUGACGGGUAGCCGGCCUGAGAGGGUGACCGGCCACACUGGGACUGAGACACGGCCCAGACCUCCGUACGGGAGCAG
rnacentral:rRNA from 1 species